rnacentral:rRNA from 1 species
CGAUGAUCCCAGCUUGCUGGGGGAUUAGUGGCGAACGGGUGAGUAACACGUGAGUAACCUGCCCUUAACUCUGGGAUAAGCCUGGGAAACUGGGUCUAAUACCGGAUAUGACUCCUCAUCGCAUGGUGGGGGGUGGAAAGCUUUAUUGUGGUUUUGGAUGGACUCGCGGCCUAUCAGCUUGUUGGUGAGGUAAUGGCUCACCAAGGCGACGACGGGUAGCCGGCCUGAGAGGGUGACCGGCCACACUGGGACUGAGACACGGCCCAGACUCCUACGGGAGGCAGCAGUGGGGAAUAUUGCACAAUGGGCGAAAGCCUGAUGCAGCGACGCCGCGUGAGGGAUGACGGCCUUCGGGUUGUAAACCUCUUUCAGUAGGGAAGAAGCGAAAGUGACGGUACCUGCAGAAGAAGCGCCGGCUAACUACGUGCCAGCAGCCGCGGUAAUACGUAGGGCGCAAGCGUUAUCCGGAAUUAUUGGGCGUAAAGAGCUCGUAGGCGGUUUGUCGCGUCUGCCGUGAAAGUCCGGGGCUCAACUCCGGAUCUGCGGUGGGUACGGGCAGACUAGAGUGAUGUAGGGGAGACUGGAAUUCCUGGUGUAGCGGUGAAAUGCGCAGAUAUCAGGAGGAACACCGAUGGCGAAGGCAGGUCUCUGGGCAUUAACUGACGCUGAGGAGCGAAAGCAUGGGGAGCGAACAGGAUUAGAUACCCUGGUAGUCCAUGCCGUAAACGUUGGGCACUAGGUGUGGGGGACAUUCCACGUUUUCCGCGCCGUAGCUAACGCAUUAAGUGCCCCGCCUGGGGAGUACGGCCGCAAGGCU